rnacentral:misc_RNA from 1 species
AGCAGCCGCGGUAAUUCCAGCUCCAAUAGCGUAUAUUAAAGUUGCUGCAGUUAAAAGCUCGUAGUUGAAUUUCGGGACUAAUAUGUCGGUCGUGCCUCGGUACGUACUGGUUUAUUGGUUUCUCCUUUCUGAAGAACCAUGAUGUCAUUUAUUUGGUGUCGUGGGGAAUCAGGACUGUUACUUUGAAAAAUUAGAGUGUUUAAAGCAGGCUCACUCUUGAAUACAUUAGCAUGGAAUAAUGAAAUAGGACGUUUGAUUCUAUUUUGUUGGUUUCUAGGAUCGACGUAAUGAUUAAUAGGGAUAGUUGGGGGCAUUAGUAUUCAAUUGUCAGAGGUGAAAUUCUUGGAUUUAUUGAAGACUAACUACUGCGAAAGCAUUUGCCAAGGAUGUUUUCAUUAAUCAAGAACGAAAGUUAGGGAUCGAAGACGAUCAGAUACCGUCGUAGUCUUAACCAUAAACUAUGCCGACUAGGGAUCGGAUGAUGUUAAUUUUUAAUGUACUCAUUCGGCGCCUUAACC